AUUGAACGCUGGCGGCAUGCUUUACACAUGCAAGUCGAACGGCAGCACGGGCUUCGGCCUGGUGGCGAGUGGCGAACGGGUGAGUAAUGCAUCGGAACGUGCCCAUUUGUGGGGGAUAACGCGGCGAAAGUCGCGCUAAUACCGCAUACGCCCUGAGGGGGAAAGCGGGGGAUUCUUCGGAACCUCGCGCAAUUGGAGCGGCCGAUGUCAGAUUAGCUAGUUGGUAGGGUAAAGGCCUACCAAGGCGACGAUCUGUAGCGGGUCUGAGAGGAUGAUCCGCCACACUGGGACUGAGACACGGCCCAGACUCCUACGGGAGGCAGCAGUGGGGAAUUUUGGACAAUGGGCGCAAGCCUGAUCCAGCCAUGCCGCGUGCAGGAUGAAGGCCU
rnacentral:rRNA from 1 species